GCUUAACGCGAAGAACCUUACCCACCUUUGACAUCCCGUGCUAUCCAGAGAGAUCUGGAGUCCCUUCGGGGCGCGGAGACAGGUGCUGCAUGGCUGUCGUCAGCUCGUGUCGUGAGAUGUUGGGUUAAGUCCCGCAACGAGCGCAACCCUCGCUUCUAGUUGCCAGCAUUUAGUUGGGCACUCUAGAGGAACUGCCUGCGCCAAGCAGGAGGAAGGCGGGGAUGACGUCAAGUCCUCAUGGCCCUUACAGGUGGGGCUACACACGUGCUACAAUGGCGGUGACAAAGGGAUAAUCCCUAAAAGCCGUCUCAGUUCGGAUUGUCCUCUGCAACUCGAGGGCAUGAAGUUGGAAUCGCUAGUAAUCGCGGAUCAGCACGCCGCGGUGAAUACGUUCCCGGGUCUUGUACACACCG
rnacentral:rRNA from 1 species